GCUAUUCUGUGACUAGGCCUGUUCUGUGACAGCGCCCCCAUUAGGCUGAGGAACGAAUCCCUGUUGCCUUCCUUCUGAGAACAGC